rnacentral:tRNA from 1 species
AGCCUUAUAGUUAAAAUAAUAAUAUUAAACUGCAAUUUUAAAGUAAAAAAAAUAAAUCAAAUUUUUAAGGCUU